CUUCAGUGAUGAUGAGCAGAGUCUGAGUGAACCUGCUGUCAGACAGGCCAAAAGAGAAGGCCCUGCUGCCCCUGUCAGCCCACCGCUGCUGUCAGACAACAUCUCCAAGUUGCUAUAAACUGCAGGACCAGAUCGCCAUCCCAAGGUUUCUAGAGAUUACAGCAGCUCCAGACUGAAUCCAAACUCACUUUUGAAGACUUCAGAUGACACCAACGCUCACAAAGACUACAGACUACAACUGUACAUGAACACACAAAACAUUGGACACACAAAACAAAUAUUAUCCUUAUUUUGCCUAUAAGGGUAAAUUUGAUGAUUUUCAAACUGCUUUAUUGUAACGUCUCUUAUAUCUGUAAAUGAACAUUAUUUACUCUCUUGAGUUAUGUGGACCUACAUGUCCCCUUUUAUUUGUAAGCAUCACUCUAAAAAUGUUGAAAGAUAAUGUUAAUGUUAACUGAAUACAAAACUAGAGACUUGUUUAGUAAGAUUUUAUCAGAAAAUAUUUUUGAACUUUUAUCAUGCAAUUUAAAACAUUUUAAUUGCUUAAUUAGUAUUGUUUGCCUGGUUUUAUUUUGUGUUUAUGUAACUCUUUUUAAAAAGUUCUUGGCAUAAAGUUCGCAUGCGAUGC